rnacentral:tRNA from 1 species
GGAGAGGCUGUGGCUCAGUGGAAGAACCUCUGCUUGGCAUGCAGAAGGCCUCAGGUUCAAGGCCUGGCUUCUCCA